UCAGAUGAACGCUGGCCGGCGUGCUAUACAUGCAAGUCGAACGAGUUCUGAUUAUUGAAAGGUGCGUGCAUCUUGAUUUAAUUUUGAACGAGUGGCGGACGGGUGAGUAACACGUGGGUAACCUGCCCUUAAGUGGGGGAUAACAUUUGGAAACAGAUGCUAAUACCGCAUAAAUCCAAGAACCGCAUGGUUCUUGGCUGAAAGAUGGCGUAAGCUAUCGCUUUUGGAUGGACCCGCGGCGUAUUAGCUAGUUGGUGAGGUAACGGCUCACCAAGGCAAUGAUACGUAGCCGAACUGAGAGGUUGAUCGGCCACAUUGGGACUGAGACACGGCCCAAACUCCUACGGGAGGCAGCAGUAGGGAAUCUUCCACAAUGGACGCAAGUCUGAUGGAGCAACGCCGCGUGAGUGAAGAAGGCUUUCGGGUCGUAAAACUCUGUUGUUGGAGAAGAAUGGUCGGCAGAGUAACUGUUGUCGGCGUGACGGUAUCCAACCAGAAAGCCACGGCUAACUACGUGCCAGCAGCCGCGGUAAUACGUAGGUGGCAAGCGUUAUCCGGAUUUAUUGGGCGUAAAGCGAGCGCAGGCGGUUUUUUAAGUCUGAUGUGAAAGCCCUCGGCUUAACCGAGGAAGUGCAUCGGAAACUGGGAAACUGAGGCAGAAGAG
rnacentral:rRNA from 2 species